rnacentral:rRNA from 1 species
AUUGAACGCUGGCGGCAUGCCUUACACAUGCAAGUCGAACGGUAACAGGUCUUCGGAUGCUGACGAGUGGCGAACGGGUGAGUAAUACAUCGGAACGUGCCUAGUAGUGGGGGAUAACUACUCGAAAGAGUGGCUAAUACCGCAUGAGAUCUACGGAUGAAAGCAGGGGAUCGCAAGAACUUGUGCUACUAGAGCGGCCGAUGGCAGAUUAGGGAGUUGGUGGGAUAAAAGCUUACCAAGCCGACGAUCUGUAGCUGGUCUGAGAGGACGAUCAGCCACACUGGGACUGAGACACGGCCCAGACUCCUACGGGAGGCAGCAGUGGUGAAUUUUGGACAAUGGGCGCAAGCCUGAUCCAGCAAUGCCGCGUGCAAGAUGAAGGCCUUCGGGUUGUAAACUGCUUUUGUACGGAACGAAAAGCCCUGGGUUAAUACCCUGGGGUCAUGACGGUACCGUAAGAAUAAGCACCGGCUAACUACGUGCCAGCAGCCGCGGUAA